GUGGGGAAUCUUAGACAAUGGGCGCAAGCCUGAUCUAGCCAUGCCGCGUGAUCGAUGAAGGCCUUAGGGUUGUAAAGAUCUUUCGCUGGGGAAGAUAAUGACUGUACCCAGUAAAGAAGCCCCGGCUAACUCCGUGCCAGCAGCCGCGGUAAUACGGAGGGGGCUAGCGUUAUUCGGAAUUACUGGGCGUAAAGCGCACGUAGGCGGACUGGAAAGUUGGGGGUGAAAUCCCGGGGCUCAACCUCGGAACUGCCUUCAAAACUCCCAGUCUUGAGUUCGAGAGAGGUGAGUGGAAUUCCGAGUGUAGAGGUGAAAUUCGUAGAUAUUCGGAGGAACACCAGUGGCGAAGGCGGCUCACUGGCUCGAUACUGACGCUGAGGUGCGAAAGCGUGGGGAGCAAACAGGAUUAGAUACCCCUGUAGUCC
rnacentral:rRNA from 1 species